UGUAGGACUUGCAUCAAGGGGAGUUGGAUAGAAGAACGGUUUGGGAAGGCCGGCCAUAGAGAGUGAAAGCCUCGUAUUCGAAAUCUAACAAGCUGGGCGAGUAUCCUGAGUAGAACGGGACACGAGAAAUCCUGUUUGAAUCUGGGGGGACCACCCUCCAAGUCUAAAUACUCCUUACUGACCGAUAGUGGACUAGUACCGCGAGGGAAAGGUGAAAAGAACCCCGGGAGGGGAGUGAAAGAGAACCUGAAACCGUGUGCCUACAAGUAGUCAGAGCACGUUAAAGUGUGAUGGCGUGCCUUUUGUAGAAUGAACCGGCGAGUUACGAUCUGAUGCAAGGUUAAGCAGCGAAUGUGGAGCCGUAGCGAAAGCGAGUCUGAAUAGGGCGCUGAGUAU
rnacentral:rRNA from 12 species